rnacentral:tmRNA from 1 species
GGGGAUGUCACGGUAUCGACAGCAGAAACGAGGUCGGACGCGCAUGUCGCAAGCGGUACGUAAACUGCAAUAUCUGCCGAAGAAAAUUUGGCUCUCGCUGCUUAAUUUAACCUAAGCAACGCGGGGGCGCGGGGGAGGGCACUGACUCCGCGUCCUUGUAAGAAAGGUGUGUCGGGGCAAUCGGGGGCGUUCCCGACCCGAUUGCCGGGAUUCCGGGAAACGUGACGCCGGUGGGUUUGUUCGCGCACCAGCCGUCGUCGAGAUCAAGCGCGGGCUAAGCAUGUAGGGCGACCUUCUGACAGUCUGUUGGACGCGGGUUCGACUCCCGCCAUCUCCACUC